rnacentral:rRNA from 1 species
AUUGAACGCUGGCGGCAUGCUUUACACAUGCAAGUCGAGCGGCAGCGCGGGGGCAACCCUGGCGGCGAGCGGCGAACGGGUGAGUAAUACAUCGGAACGUGUCCCGUAGUGGGGGAUAACCCGGCGAAAGCCGGACUAAUACCGCAUAUGCUCUACGGAGGAAAGUGGGGGACCCGCAAGGGCCUCACGCUAUGGGAGCGGCCGAUGUCCGAUUAGCUUGUUGGUGAGGUAACGGCUUACCAAGGCGACGAUCGGUAGCUGGUCUGAGAGGAUGAUCAGCCACACUGGGACUGAGACACGGCCCAGACUCCUACGGGAGGCAGCAGUGGGGAAUUUUGGACAAUGGGGGCAACCCUGAUCCAGCCAUGCCGCGUGCGGGAAGAAGGCCUUCGGGUUGUAAACCGCUUUUGUCCGGGGAGAAAAGGCACCUCCUAAUACGGGGUGCUCUUGACGGUACUGGAAGAAUAAGCACCGGCUAACUACGUGCCAGCAGCCGCGGUAA